UGUAAGUGUGUGUAUCUGGGAUUUUCAGUGCUUUACCGGGGCUCUUGUGCAGAGUGCACGGUGAAGGCUGCGAGUAGAGAUGGGGUUUCACCGUGUUAGCCAGGAUGGUCACGAUCUCCUGACCUCGUGAUCCGCCUGCCUCGGCCUCCCAAAGUGCUGGGAUUACCAGCGUGAGCCACCGUUUCCGGCAACAGGCAGACUUUUAACACAUUCCUUACCUAAACUUUUAAAAGGGACGAAAGAUAUAUGUCUUUGGUUUGGGAGAUGACGAAACAUAUGCUUUAAUGACUAUUGGGUUGGAAUCUUCUUGAGAGAGGAUCCUUCUUAGCCUAGACUAGAGUCUUCAAAAGCCCACAGUGCUUCGUAAAGUUUCAUACGUGGAAGAGAGAAGGAUGUUCCACUGGAAAAGCAGAAUUGCAGCUGAGCUGUCCUGAAAUGCCCAGCACUCUGUGGAGACGCCGAGGAGGUUUCCUGGGACAAAGUGCUGAACCAGGAGCGAUCUCAUCCGCUGUCCACUGGGGAAUGGCCUUGCCCUAUGGCCCCUGCCAAACAAAAACGUAGCAGAACACAGCAAAACAGCAGAGUCGGAGUGUGAAGUGCUGAUAGAGUUCCCUAACGCUGACUGUCUGCUCUGCAUUUCUGGAGAUUGUAUGCCUGUCAUCCUGCAUUCCUCGAUGGUGAAGCCAAGGCCUGAAGACCUUUCCCGCAAGGUUGCAGAGGAAGAGGCAGAAGAAGGACCAGAACCCAGCUCCCCUGACUCCCUAUCCAGUGCUCUUCUCAUAGAUUACAUUGCUUCAGCAUCCACCUGGCUAUUGCUCCAUCCAGGGGUUACAGGAGUCACUGACUGUUUUGGUUGCUUCUUGGUUGGAGGAUGUUGUGCCUCACCGAUGAGAGAUUCCCAGAGCCCAAUCAAGAUCCUCACAUGUAGAAAGUAGUAGAUCAAUUAAAUAAAGCAAGCACAGCCAGAAUGGCUGGGAAUUUGAGAACAUGUGCCCCAGAAUGAUUGUACCUCAGACCUGGCAGAAAAUGUGGAGUUGAUCUAAGUAAACCUGAUGUUUGAACGCCUCAUCUGCAUUCACAGCCUGAGGGAAUCAAAAUAGACAUAGAAGAAUUCGCAGAAAGAGCAACAGAUCUGCAGUUGGGGCUGUGGCUCUGCCUCUGAGACUCUCCCUUUAUGACUUUGAACAAGUCAUUUCACCCUCUUGAGGCCUCGAUUUCCUCAUCAAUAGUUUGGGAUACAACUAGGUGUCCUGUAAUUGGUGCCUUUCAGCUCUAAUCAAAACAAAAACAAGACCCAAGCAAACAUCAUCACUGACAGAUCUGAGGGAAUCCAGCUCAGAUCUUCCUGGUGUCAUCUCUGAUCAGAAAUCAGGGAACCAACCCUGACCUUAAUGGCCCUUCUAGGGGUGUGCUCUUCCCCUGGGCAGAGCCAAUCCCCAGGGAAGCAGAAACUCCUACUUGCCAAACUCCUGGCCAGUCACACCCGCUUUGCCAUCCUGGAGAAGGAGGGACUGUUGUGGAGCUUGUGGCAAAAUCCCUCUUCCUCCCCCAAACACAGCUAUGAUUAGCUGUGUCCUCACCACGAAACUGCAGGGGUGUGUGCGGGUGAGUCAUAGCUGUUCAAAUCACAUUUAUAGAGAGCUCGCAUGGCAGGGGGCUUGGUGGCUGUCAGAGGCACCCCAGUUCCCUUUCUCUACCCCCAACAAUUGCUGAGAUUUUAGGACCCAGGCAUUUGGGUUACAGAGUUUCAGAAUCAUCUGCUGAUGCCACCAGCUUCUUAUGCCAGGCCCCAGCCACCCAGAGCGGCUCCCCUGGAGGAGGAGGGGGCUUGGUCCCCAUCCCAUCCCACCUGGGAGAACUGUCCCAGGGUCAGCCCCAGGCCUGAAUUGUCACUGUCUCUCACCACCCUCUCCCUGGGGCCUGCCAUUCCCAGGACCACUCCGAAGGAAUCAGGUACUCUCUCCAGGUGCGAACCCCACAACCUCCAGGAGCCCCAGCUCCUGCCACUCCAUGCCCUAGGCUCACUCGUAGCUGUUGGCACAGGUGUCCCAGCCUCUCUGAGCUGUGCACUGUGGUCUCAAAUGCCCCCUCCCACUCCCUUUCCUCCCAGCCAUGGGGACCCUGACAGCUCCCAUCGGGAGCUGAGAAAGAAGCAGAGGCUUCUUUGGUGGAGGAAUCCCGGCAGGCCGGCAAGUCCCAACAGGCCGAUGUUGGGCUGCUGCAGGCAGACAGUGAGUCACCUGGGUCCCCGCUGCUUACAGGACAGAGCCAGAAUAAUGACAAUAAUAAUAGAGGUCCACGGUGCUGUUAUUAACGCCCACCUUUCCUCCCAGGACCCUGUCUCCUUUAUCCAUCUUUAUGCCCAGCCCUUGGGGCAGGGAGGGGCCAAGGGCCCAAGAGAUUUUGUUGCCCUGUCUUAAAUAGGGGGGAAACUGAGGCUAAAGUUGUUUCCCACUGAACUGCUAGUCCUGAGAAGAGGACUCUGCCUCCUAAUGUACCUCAUGCCAGGAAAGUUCUGCAGCCCCACAGUUAGUGGGCUCCUCACUGGCAAAGCUCUAGGCUCAGGGAGGAAAGAACCCACAUUUCUGGAUUUCUCACACUCUGUCCUCUAACCCUUACUUACAACAACAGCUCUAGGGACUAGUUAUGAUUAUUAUCCUCAUUUGUUGGAUGAGGAACUUGAAGUUCAGAGAGGCUAGGUAAAUUCCCAAGGUCAUGCAGCAAAGGAGAAGCAGACCCAAGAUGUGAAGCCAGGUUGGUUUGACUGUGCUCUCUCACUCAGGGUCCUGUAAUCCAGGAUCUAGAGUUUCCAAGUGUGGCUUCCUAGGCCUUUUGGGCCUGUUCUUCCUCCAUUGCCUUCCCCACCUGGGCUCCCUCUAUCUCAAGAUUAGGGUUCCUCCCAGGGCCCCCUGAAGGCCAGCUUUCAUUUUCAUCUUGAGCAGCCGUGGAAAAGUAAGGACUCAACCACUUUAAUUUUGGGGUCUUAGUAAUUAUCUGACACCACCCACUCAACUCUACCCACUAGUUAUUAUAAUAAUAACAAUAAUCAUUUAGAGAAGCGAUGGCAAUGAUCACAGCGUUUACAGAAUCCGGGACUGGGCGGAGAUAGAUAUAGCCUCACACUUCCUUUUUCUAUCAGUGUGGUGCUAGUUUUGGGAGUAAGGACUGUUGGAGUCUAGUCAGUUCUGGCAAGGAUGCCAAAAA